UACGUAGGAUGCAAGCGUUGUCCGGAAUUAUUGGGCGUAAAGAGCGCGCAGGCGGUCUAUCAAGUCAGAUGUGAAAUAUCCGGGCUUAACCCGGAGGGGUCAUUUGAAACUGGUAGACUAGAGUACAGCAGAGGAUAGCGGAAUUCCCGGUGUAGUGGUGAAAUGCGUAGAUAUCAGGAGGAACACCAAUGGCGAAGGCAAUCCCCUGGACCUGUACUGACGCUCAUGCACGAAAGCGUGGGGAGCAAACAGG
rnacentral:rRNA from 1 species